rnacentral:rRNA from 1 species
GAUGAACGCUGGCGGUAUGCUUAACACAUGCAAGUCGAACGGUCACUUCGGGGAUAGUGGCGGACGGGGGAGUAACGCGUGAGAAUCUGUCUUCAGGUCGGGGACAACAGUUAGAAAUGACUGCUAAUACCGGAUGUGCCUUUGGGUGAAAGAUUUAUUGCCUGAAAAAGAGCCCGCGGCAGAUUAGCUAGUAGGUGGUGUAAGAGACUACCUAGGCGCCGAUCUGUAGCUGGGCUGAGAGGACGAUCCGCCACACCUGAACUGAGACACGGUCCAGACUCCUACGGAAGGCAGCAGUGCGGAAUUGUCCGCCAUGGGCGGAAGCCUGACGGUGCUCUGCCGCUUGAGCUACGAAGUCUUUUGGGUCGUAAACCUCUUUUCUCUAGGCAGAUGAUGACGGUACCUGAGGAAUAAGCAUCGGCUAACUCUGUG